AUACAAAUCCCCAAGGAUCUUGUUAAAAUGCAGAUUCUGAUUCAGUAGGUGUGAGAAAGAGUCCGAGUCUCUGUGUUUCUAACAAGCUCCUAAGUGAUGCUGAU
rnacentral:pre_miRNA from 1 species